AACAAUAUGUUAUUUAGCAAAACAUAAAAUUUCUAUGGAUCAGUAUAAUUAUUUCGAAGAAAAAGACAGCAUUUCACCGUUGUCUUAUAAUAAAUUAUGUGUUUCCGCAACAUCGUGAUCGGCGGAGGUGGCGGUGGAAGCUGUAUCCCUAUCCCGAAUCCUUGUGCUUGCUGUUUUAGAUGCUGCGCUGAAUUAAUUUUUAAGCUAUUUUGCUGUGCUCUCAUUCUGGCAGCGAUUGGUGGCGGUAUAUUCUUGUUAGCUGAGAUGUUUUGUAAGUAAUGCGACGUACUGAUUGACAUUCAAGGAAGUAGAUCGUUUGUAAGGAAAUAGAGAAGACAGAAGCAAAUAGAAUAAAAAAUAGUUAUCUGGCGUAAUAUCGUUGUAAGUAAUGAGGCUUUAGGGCUAGCAGCACAAGUAACCGUAUGUCUCAUAUUGGGUGUUAUAGGAAUAUUCACUUUGAUUUUUCUGAUGGCAGCGGAUGUGAUUUAAUAAUGAAUUUUAGGGUGAAGAUUGCAAAUAAUUUCGUAACAAGACCGCUGGAAUUGAAAAGGAUUUUAUUUAAAAACAAAACUUUAUCUGAAGAUGAAGAAGAAACUAAGCGUAAACUUUUAAGUGACGUGAUUGUUUGUCCUAUUAUUGUUGUAAUAAAUCUAA